UGGGGAUUUUUGAAUUUGGAGUAUGGUGGUGGAGCUUGCUCCACCCUGCUCACGGGUUGUCCUGGUAUUGCAGUACCUCCAGGUUGGGCUCACGUUUC
rfam:Ciona savignyi cont_62819, whole genome shotgun sequence.